rnacentral:lncRNA from 1 species
CAGAACCCAGAUAAUUUAGCACUUUGAAUAGAAAGGAAGAUUUAUGUAAGUCAUGAUAUAUAUGACUUACUGAGGCUCCCAUUGGUUUUCUUGUAUUUCUCUCUAGUGCUCUGAUGUAUAGCAUAAAAAAGAUCUACCUGUUCCCCAGAGAGUUUUCAGAGAGAUGAGUCUGUUUCUAGCUACCAUAUCUGUGCCCUGCUACAGAAUACAGGUUAGGGAAAAGGAUGUGGCUUCCUUAGGAAAAGAGAACCCCUGUCACAAGGGACACAAGCAAUUCUCAUUCUACUACUACCUGGAGACACUUGCUAUGAAGACAAAAAAAUCAAGAUUGCAAGGAAAGCUGACCUUUAAGGCAAAUUCAGAAAGUAUGCUGCUGGGACAUCUAAAAACAUUUAAAAUACAUUCUAAGAAGAUGAAUCUUAGAGUUAAAAAUCAGUUUUCUAGGUCAAAAGGAAGAAAAUGAAAGAAGGGAAAAACAUCAGUUUAUUUAGUAUAGAUCCUGUAAGUUCCCUAAAUCAUUGCAUAAACCUAUUAUUUUUAUCAUAAAUGUUUUAGACUUCUCUACAAUCGUAGGACAGUCAAAGAUGUUGUGGUAGUAGGCAAAGCUUAGAACUCCGUAAGGUCAUACCCUGCCUCUCCAACCAGAACCUGGGGGACUGCUGUGUUGCUCUUUAAUUCUCUUCCUUCUGUGGCUUCUAAGUUAUUUUUACUUGUAUUUUUGUAAAGUUAGUAUGGGUAUUAAGGGAAUAAUAGAUAGAAGGAAUGAUGACUUGUAGAUACUCCAGGGCAGGAGAGGAGGAGAAAAGAGAUGAGAGAGAGAGGACUGGUGUGGGAGAGAAUAUUUGCUUGUUUCAGCUGGAAUUGCG